CUCCAGCUGCAACCAAAAAAAGCUUGAAAAUGGCAACGAUUCAUAAUUUAAACGUAAAAGCGACGAAAACACUUCGCUAAUUACUCUCGACAUGAGCGUCAACGCUUCUUUUUUCUCUUCAAAUAUUUCCGGGCCCCCGUUUUUUGAACGUUGCGCGUUCGUUAUCAAGUUUCGGAGUGUGACCAUGAGACAAUGAUGGAAAAAUUACAUCCUCGCUCAACCUUUUUUAUUCAGUGAGUCUACUCACUACAGCUAGGAAUAAACGAAACACGUCGACUCACCAAUUUCAUCCGAUACGUUUUUCGGCUCGAUCAGUACUGUUCGAUACUGAAAAUGAAGAUAAAUUCAUUCGGUGGGAUUUUCACACGUGAGACGUUGACGUUCGAGUCUGAGAAGAAAAAAUGGACACAGCGAUGAAUUCGUUUUGUUGGGAGAGGAGAGAAGCGAACGGAACUCACUUGGUGCGUGCACGCCUGUACCAGAUUCGGUGGGAAGAUGUUUCUGCAAAGUAGAUUCGAUAGAAGAUUAGACGGCGUUGGAAGCUCGACCGAAACUUUUAUCGAUAUAACCUCGAGAGCUCGAGUGUUUAGACCAUUUUACAGGGACAGAAACAGCGUUGAAACGGUGGAACGAUGAAUAGGGACGAUAAGAAAUUAUCAGUACGAAAGAGAAAAAACUUGAAAUCUUUUUGCUCUCUAUCACUAGUCUCCAGAGUAAUUAUAGAGCCAAUAAAUAUUUUGCUAUUUACCAAGAAGCAAUUGCAUGUUUUGAACACGCAACAAAAUAAUCGAAAUUAGAUUUGUUCGUUUAAAAUUCUGUCAUUUGCCAAAGGAUCGGUUUGAAAAUUUGUUCAAAGUAAAAUCUGGUCGCCACUCUCGACCCCAUUUCGCUUCUUAACCGUUUAUUAAUUAUCGAAAAUCUUACCUGAUUA